rnacentral:rRNA from 1 species
GGAGUUUGGUCCGUGUCUCAGUACCAAUGUGGGGGACCUUCCUCUCAGAACCCCUACUGAUCGUCGCCUCGGUGGGCCGUUACCCCGCCGACAAGCUAAUCAGACGCAUCCCCAUCCCACAGCGAUAAAUCUUUACUCCUCAUUAGAUGCCCGCAAAGGAGAACAUAGGGCAUUAAUCCGACUUUCGCCGGGCUAUUCCCUACUGAGGGCCAGGUUGGAUACGCGUUACUCACCCGUGCGCCGGUCGCCAUCAUUGUGUGCAAGCACACAACAUGCUGCCCCUCGACUUGCAUGUGUUAAGCCUGUAGCUAGCGUUCAUC